GCUCUCGUAGUUUAAUGGAUAAAACUCCGGUUUGCGGUACCGGUACUCUAGGUUCGAUUCCUAGCGAGAGCA
rnacentral:tRNA from 1 species